CUUCUACAAUAAGCGGCCUCCUCCCGGACUCCUACAAGAAUCAGACUCCAUCUGAACUUCUACAAUAGAAUUGAAUUCAAGACCCCUCCAGCAGUCAACCUUCCACAGUAUCCUCAAGUCUCCUCCAACGGACGAACUUUCACAAUGUCUUUCGAGCUCCACUAUCGGUCGACCUUCUACUGGGUUCCUCAUGAAACCGGAUCCCUCCAG
rnacentral:lncRNA from 1 species